GUUCUCGAUCGGUCGGCUGCUUCUUUCGAUCCCUCACUCAGCCUAAAAUAAGCAGCCCAGCCCAGAUUUCAUAGCCCACCUAAAGGCCUACUUCAACAGGAAAACAAAACUUCAGGCGGGAGCACUAGAGGAUUUUGGCGGGGAAACGUGUGCUGCGCUGCUCUGUCGCGCGCUGUCUCAGCUUUGGACGAUCGUUGCGGCAACUCCAAAGAAAUCAGCUGGCCGAUCGAGGAAAACUUCUGGCGAUCGAUUCCAGCCAUCGUUCCUCCUCCUCCUCCUUCUAGAUUACAGUAAUUAUUGAGUUCACGUCUUCAAAUUAAGAGAUAAUGGCAGAAACCAACAAGGAGAAUGUGAUUCGUACAUCCUUACCUCAAGUUGGUCAGAAAUUCACAGACUUGGCUGAGGCAUGGUCAUUUUGGGUUAACUAUGGAGGCACAAACAAAGAAUAUAGGUCUUUUGGUGUUUUCGUCGGAUUCAAUCAUUUUAGAGAGACCGUUAUUUUUGGUGCUGCUCUUUUGUUUGAUGAAACACGUGGCUCUUUCAAAUGGUUAUUUGAGGCUUUUGUAGAGGCACACAACGGAAAGCAACCUAGAGCUAUAUUUACCGAUCAAGACACGGCAAUGGGAUUGGCUGUUGGAGAUGUUUUCACCCAAGCAUGGCAUGGCUUGUGCACCUACCACAUCAUGCAAAAUGCCGUCAAGCACUUGUGCAAUAGCAAAGUUGAAGAAUCAAAAAAAGAGGAAGAUGAAGAACCUCAUAUCCUCUUAGAUUUCAGCGCUUGUAUGUAUAAUAUUGAGGACAAGGCAGCCUUUGAAGAGGCAUUUGACAUCAUGAGAAAUAAGGUGGAUAAGAAGAAGGCCUCAUGGCUAGAUAGCAUCUACAAGUUAAAAGAAAAGUGGACUGAAUGUUACAUGAGGGAUGUUUUCACAUUGGGAAUGAGAAGCACACAAUUAAGUGAGAGUUUCAAUAGUGAUUUGAAAAAACAUCUCAAAUCAGAUUUUGACAUCAUUCGCUUCUUAAAACAUUUUGAAAGGGUUGUGCAAGGAAAAAGAAACAAGGAGCUAGAUGCAGAAUUUGAAGCUACUAAAAAACUGCCUAGAAUAGGGAUGGAGACUCCUAUGUUGUUGCAAACAAGCGAAGCUUACACACCGACCAUAUUUGAAGCAUUCAAAUCUGAAUAUAGAAGAUCCAUGGCUGCAUGUAGUAGAGCAUUGGAUGGAGAUAAUACAUAUGCUGUUACAAUUGUGAGGGGUAAUGGUGAUUUGAGUUCCGAACUAGAGCGCAUAGUUGUCGGUGAUCCUUUGGAGCAAACGACUUCUUGUAGCUGUUUUCAGUUUAAAAGGACCGGAGUAUUGUGUGCGCAUGCUUUAAAAGUUCUUGACUUGAUGAAUAUCAAGUUAUUGCCAAACCAUUAUCUUUUAAAGAGAUGGACCCGAGAAGCAAAAUCUGGAACUAUACAAGAUACCAAAGGAAGGGAUAUAAUUGAAGAUCCAAAAUUGGAUGCUAUGUUGCGGUACAAGUUUGUUUCUCACAAAUUUCAUGAUUUUGCAAGUGAAGCCGCAAGCGAUCCGGAAUGUAUCUUGUUGGUGGACAAUGCAUUGGACAUCCUUGCCAAGCAAGUACGGGAAAAACUGAGGAUAUCUAGAAGUAUUUUGAGUGAAUACUCUAAUGUGCAGCCUAAUGUUCAACAAGAUGAGGGUUUGCUUAGUUCUGCACGCCUCAAGAAAAAAGAGGUUCAACCGAAAAGUUCAAAGAGACAUAAACCUUGGAUCGAGAAGACAUGCAAGUAGAAAAAGAAAGACCCAAAGGAAUCUAGCCAACAAGAGAAAGAGAAUCAAGUUGGUGGAGAAACUCAAGCAACAACUGAAAAUGCUAAUAAUGCCAGCAAUGCAUUCAGGAGCUACACAGACUUGCUAAUGGGUUCUAAUGGAAUUGAUGAUAUGGAUUUUGGAGAUCUUCUUUAGGUUCCUAUUUCAUGACAAGAAGAAGAUAGUCCAUCUUCUUCUUUUGGCCUGAAUAUGUUCAGCUUGAAGAAAUUUGUGAAAAACACCGCAAAAUGGUGUUCUUUUGUGUAGAACCUGCAGCUCUAGUACUAUAUUUUGUUGGAGGUUAUUAUGGUUAUUUGUAUCAUGACUAAUGUUUGUAUUCUGGUUGAUUUUGGUUGAAUUCUGGUUGAAAACGGAGU